GAUGAACGCUGGCGGCGUGCCUAAUACAUGCAAGUCGAGCGAACAGACGAGAGUGCUUGCACUCUCUGACGUUAGCGGCGGACGGGUGAGUAACACGUGGGUAACCUACCUAUAAAACUGGGAUAACUUCGGGAAACCGGAGCUAAUACCGGAUAAUAUUUAGCUUCGCAUGAAGCAAUAGUGAAAGACGGUUCUGCUGUCACUUAUAGAUGGACCCGCGGUGUAUUAGCUAGUUGGUGAGGUAACGGCUCACCAAGGCAACGAUACAUAGCCGACCUGAGAGGGUGAUCGGCCACACUGGGACUGAGACACGGCCCAGACUCCUACGGGAGGCAGCAGUAGGGAAUCUUCCGCAAUGGACGAAAGUCUGACGGAGCAAUGCCGCGUGAGUGAAGAAGGUUUUCGGAUCGUAAAACUCUGUUGUAAGGGAAGAACAAGUACGUUAGUAACUGAACGUACCUUGACGGUACCUUACCAGAAAGCCACGGCUAACUACGUG
rnacentral:rRNA from 1 species